CCAAUAGCGUAUAUUAAAGUUGUUGCAGUUAAAAAGCUCGUAGUUGAAUUUCGGGAUUAGUACGCUGGUCGUGCCUUCGGUAUGUACUGGUGUUACUGGUUCCUACCUUCUGACGAACCGUCAUGUCAUUAAUUUGGUGUGGCAGGGAAUCAGGACUGUUACUUUGAAAAAAUUAGAGGGUUUAAAGCAGGCUCGCGCUUGAAUACAUUAUCAUGGAAUAAUGAAAUAGGACGUUCGAUCCUAUUUUGUUGGUUUCUAGGAUUUACGUAAUGAUUAAUAGGGAUAGUUGGGGGCAUUAGUAUUCAAUUGUCAGAGGUGAAAUUCUUGGAUUUAUUGAAGACUAACUACUGCGAAAGCAUUUGCCAAGGAUGUUUUCAUUAAUCAAGAACGAAAGUUAGGGGAUCGAAGACGAUCAGAUACCGUCGUAGUCUUAACCAUAAACUAUGCCGACUAGGGAUCGGAUGAUGUUAUUUUUAAUGACUCAUUCGGCGCCUUACG
rnacentral:rRNA from 1 species